AGACCGAUAGCGAACAAGUACCGUGAGGGAAAGAUGAAAAGCACUUUGGAAAGAGAGUUAAACAGUACGUGAAAUUGUUGAAAGGGAAACGAUUGAAGUCAGUCGUGUUCUUUGGAUUCAGCUAGUUCUGCUAGUUUACUUCCAUUGAACGGGUCAACAUCAGUUUUGUUCGGUGGAUAAAGGUAGUAGGAAUGUGACUCCUCUCGGGGAGUGUUAUAGCCUAUUAUCAUAUACACUGGGUGAGACUGAGGACUGCAGCUCGCCUUUUGGCCGGCCCUCGGGCACGUUCGAGCUUAGGAUGUUGACAUAAUGGCUUUAAACGUCCCGUCUUGAAACACGGACCAAG
rnacentral:rRNA from 1 species